AGCAGAGCCUAAGUCACAGUAGCCCUGACUACAGCAUUCCUGGAGCCCAGGCUCUUUUCCACAGAGGAGGAAAGAGCAGGCAGCAGAGACCAUGGGGCCCCCCUCAGCCUCUCCCCACAGAGAAUGCAUCCCCUGGCAGGGGCUUCUGCUCACAGCCUCACUUCUAAACUUCUGGAACCCGCCCACCACUGCCAAGCUCACUAUUGAAUCCAUGCCGCUCAGUGUCGCAGAGGGGAAGGAGGUGCUUCUACUUGUCCACAAUCUGCCCCAGCAUCUUUUUGGCUACAGCUGGUACAAAGGGGAAAGAGUGGAUGGCAACAGUCUAAUUGUAGGAUAUGUAAUAGGAACUCAACAAGCUACCCCAGGGGCCGCAUACAGCGGUCGAGAGACAAUAUACACCAAUGCAUCCCUGCUGAUCCAGAAUGUCACCCAGAAUGACAUAGGAUUCUACACCCUACAAGUCAUAAAGUCAGAUCUUGUGAAUGAAGAAGCAACUGGACAGUUCCAUGUAUACCCGGAGCUGCCCAAGCCCUCCAUCUCCAGCAACAACUCCAACCCCAAGGAGGACAAGGAUGCUGUGGCCUUCACCUGUGAACCUGAGAUUCACAGCACAACCUGCCUGUAGUGGGUAAAUGGUCAGAGCCUCCCGGUCAGUUCCAGGCUGCAGCUGUCCAAUGACAAGAGGACCCUCACUCUACUCAGUGUCACAAGGAAUGACACAGGACCCUAUGAGUGUGAAAUACCGAACCCAGUGGGUGCCAGCUACAGUGACCCAGUCACGCUGAAUGUCCUCUGUAUCUUCUGUUCCUCUGUGGCCCAGGCUUCCAGCCCAAAUCCACACAGCCAGAGGCCAGGCCUCUCAGUCCCUCUCAAGUCCAGGGACUCAGACUCUCACCCAGGCUGGCCAUCACUUCCUGUCCCAAGCAAACCUGGGCAGACCCAGCCUUGACCAAGAAUAGGAGGGGAGAGGCUGCUCCUGUCCUGGGAGGCUCAGGGUCCACAGCCUGUGAUGGGAGAAACAGAAAAUGCCCCAGGCCUUCCUGUGGGGGCCGUCGCCGGCAUCGUGACCGGGGUCCUGGUCGGAGUGGCGCUGGUGGCCGCGCUGGUGUGUUUCCUGCUCCUUGCCAAAACUGGAAGAACCAGCAUCCAGCGUGACCUCAAGGAGCAGCAGCCCCAAGCCCUUGCCCCUGGCCGUGGUCCCUCCCACAGCUCUGCCUUCUCGAUGUCCCCUCUCUCCACUGCCCAGGCCCCCCUACCCAACCCCAGGACAGCAGCUUCCAUCUAUGAGGAAUUGCUAAAACAUGACACAAACAUUUACUGCCGGAUGGACCACAAAGCAGAAGUGGCUUCUUAGCUUCCUCCAGGAGCUGCUCCUGUGUGUUGAUGGAGAGUCCCCAAGGCCCCCAGCCCUGGGGAUGGGGAAGGACAUGAAGCCUGAGCCAGAGAACCAGCUAUAAGUCCUGAGAAGACACUGGUGUCUGGGGGCAGGGAGGGAUGGGGGUCCCUGAUGAAUAUCUGGAGACCUCGACAGCCUGCCCUAGGCCCUGGGUGGGUCAGGACAAAGGCCUCUCAUCACCGCAGAAAGCGGGGGCUUGCAGGGAAAGUGAAUGGGCCUGUGGCCCACCUGGGGUCACUUGGAAAGGAUCUGAAUAAAGGGGACCCUUCCUCUCA